rnacentral:rRNA from 1 species
AUUGAACGCUGGCGGCAUGCUUUACACAUGCAAGUCGAACGGUAACAGGUUAAGCUGACGAGUGGCGAACGGGUGAGUAAUGCAUCGGAAUGUGCCCGAUCGUGGGGGAUAACGCAGCGAAAGCUGCGCUAAUACCGCAUACGAUCUGAGGAUGAAAGCGGGGGACCGGCAGGCUUCGCGCGAUCGGAGCGGCCGAUGUCAGAUUAGGUAGUUGGUGGGGUAAAGGCCCACCAAGCCGACUAUCUGUAGCUGGUCGGAGAGGACGACCAGCCACACGGGGACCGAGACACGGCCCAGACUCCUACGGGAGGCAGCAGUGGGGAAUUUUGGACAAUGGGCGAAAGCCUGAUCCAGCAAUGCCGCGUGCAGGAAGAAGGCCUUCGGGUUGUAAACUGCUUUUGUACGGAGCGAAAAGGUCCUUUCUAAUACAAGGGGCUCAUGACGGUACCGUAAGAAUAAGCACCGGCUAACUACGUGCCAGCCGCCGCCGUAA